rnacentral:lncRNA from 1 species
GAAAAUUCUUGUCAAUUACUUUUGAUUGAUAUGCUUUUCCCAUUUCUAACUGGGCGAGUUAAACGUCAGUGAAAUUCAAGCCUGUGUAUUAUUGGCUCGGCUUAUUAUUUUGACUGCUUCACAACGCCCGCCUUUCUCCUGAAAGCUCGACAAUCUAUUGGCCAAAAAUAUAUCCUUCAUCUGUCAUAAAAAUACUACCUUAUCUCAUUUGCCGGAACAAACGUCAAUCAGAUAAAUGCCUUACUGUGAUUGGUCAGGACCGCGAGCUCGCGUUGAUUGACAAGUAACCUGAUUGGCCAGAGGUCGCGGGUGGGGCGGUAUCUCGUGUGGGCUCUUCAAGGCUUCACGGAGAGUGAAUGUCGUCAUGAGCGAUCAAAAGGACAGUAUGGCCACCACUGUCGCAGUCAGCCCCAGUGAAUAUCUCCAGCCCUCCACCACCACUUCUCAAGUAAGGCCCCAUCUGUCUGUAUUUUUAGGGAUGCCUUGAUAAUAAAAUUUUAACCCGAUGAGCCAAUAAUGUUAUCGAUGAAAUCUUACGAAGCAUUUGAAAUGCUUCAAUGAAACUACCAUUACUGGUUAUUCUCGAUUUCUCAAUUUCAUAUUCUGACGUUCAAAUAAAAUGUCUUGGAAAUAUUGAGAGAAAUCUUCCAUUAUGCUAGUUUUGCUAUAGUUGGUCUAGUUCAAAUUCGCAUUUUUAAUUAAUGAAAAGGAGGUGACUGUAGAAAUUACAUGGUAACAGUCGAAACUUUCACAAAAUCUAAAUAGUGAAGUUAAUUUAUUAUUUUUGUUGUAUUUUUUUUUUUUUAGUGUGUGUCAAAACGUGAAAUUGAAAUGUUUGUGAAUAAGAACUUAUUUGUCAGAUACAAUGGGGUUAAGCUGAUAUUUAUUAAAUUAUGACUGUUUAUUAAGCUUACGAACCCUGGACCUGGGGGGUAUUCCAAAAAGCAGGUUAUGUGACAUACCCGGUUAUGUUUGAGGAUAAGCGAGGUUACUGUAUGUUCCAGGGUUAGUAUGGUCACCUUAGCGCACAUGUGAUUUACAUACGAGCCUUUGGUGGGCGUGACAGAUAGCGCACAACAUUAUAUAAUAUUACAAGAUGUAAUAUAGCCUAUUAUAUAUAUAUGUAUGUGUGUGUGUGUGUGUAUGAUUUAAUGAAGCUGUAAUAUAAGUAAUAAAUAAGGUAAUAUAUUAUUUUAAUAUGGUUAUUUAUUUUAUUGGCAUACAUAACAGUUAUCUGUAUAAAUGAUAAAACACUAGGACAAGGUCAUGUUUAAUUUAUUAUAUUAAUAUAUUUAUUUAUUACAUUUUAUUUAUUAUUAUUUAUUAUUUAUUACAUUUUAUAUUAUCAUUUCACACAUGGAUCAAAACAAACAAUGUAAUUCAUAUUCUCAAGGAUUAAACGAAAAAAUAAAAUAAAAAUGAUUGCACAGCCAUCAGUCAGGUGGUGAUAUGCACUAAGCAUGUAAACGAUCUUUGUAAUUAUUUGUAAACUUUAAUAGUUGUUUCUGAGUGAAACUUUUUAUAAAAGUAAAUCCUACACCAAACUACACUACAUGACUUUUGCCCCGCUUUACAGUCUGGACAGGUUGACACUAGUUGGCGAAAGUCGAAGCCAGAUUGCACAUUUUCAUUGAACGAUUUCACAGAAAAAACAUGUAGACUACUUUUUUUUUUNUUUUUUUAGCUUACAAACUAUGAAUCUAUCCAGCCAUCAGAGAUACAAACAUGUCGAGUCCGGUUUUACAUUUGUUUUCAUUUGUCACACAUAUCCUAAGUAACAAGGCACAUGAUGCCAUCAUUUACAGACUCAGCUAAAGAGUAAACUUUUAAUAGUUGUUUACUGAGUGAAACUUUUUAUAAAAGUAAAUCCUACACCAAACUACACUACAUGACUUUUGCCCCGCUUUACAGUCUGGACAGGUUGACACUAGUUGGCGAAAGUCGAAGCCAGAUUGCACAUUUUCAUUGAACGAUUUCACAGAAAAAACAUGUAGACACUUUUUUUUUUUUAGCUUCAAACUAUGACUGAGUAGUAAACUUUUUAUAAAAGUAAAUACCUACACCAAACUACACUACAUGACUUUUGCCCGCUUUACAGUCUGGACAGGUUGACACUAGUUGGACGAAAGUCGAAGCCAGAUUGCACUAUUUUCAUUGAACGUAUUUACACAAGAAAAACAUGUAGACACUUUUUUU